rnacentral:rRNA from 1 species
GUACACUCCUACGGGAGGCAGCAGUGGGGAAUAUUGGACAAUGGGCGCAAGCCUGAUCCAGCCAUGCCGCGUGAGUGAUGAAGGCCCUAGGGUUGUAAAGCUCUUUCACCGGUGAAGAUAAUGACGGUAACCGGAGAAGAAGCCCCGGCUAACUUCGUGCCGGCAGCCGCGGUAAUACGAAGGGGGCUAGCGUUGUUCGGAUUUACUGGGCGUAAAGCGCACGUAGGCGGACUAUUAAGUCAGGGGUGAAAUCCCGGGGCUCAACCCCGGAACUGCCUUUGAUACUGGUAGUCUUGAGUUCGAGAGAGGUGAGUGGAAUUCCGAGUGUAGAGGUGAAAUGCGUAGAUAUUCGGAGGAACACCAGUGGCGAAGGCGGCUCACUGGCUCGAUACUGACGCUGAGGUGCGAAAGCGUGGGGAGCAAACAGGAUUAGAAACCCUGGUAGUCCCA